CUUGUAUACAAAUGUUUGUAGCAACUUUAUUCAUAAUAAUCCCACGCUGGAAAUAACACAAAUAUUCAUCAGCAAAUACAUAAACCAACUGUGGUAUAUUACAAUGAAAUACUAUUCAGCAAUGAAAACAAAAAGCUACAGACACAGGCAACAGCAAAUAUCUCUAAACAUGUUAAGCUAAAGAAACUAAACACAAGAGUAUAUACUAUCUGAUUUAAUUUAUAUGAAAUUCUAAAUCAGGGAAGAAAACUAACCUUCCAGUAACAGAAGGUGGAUCAGUGGUGACCUAGGGCUGGGGAGAAUGACUGCAAACGGAGAGGAAAUUUAUUCUGGUAAGAAAAUGUUCUUUACUUUGAUUGGGGGUGGUGGUUACAUGGGUGUACACGUUCAUCAAAGAUCAUUGAACUCUACAGUAAAAAUGGCUACACUUAAUUAUAGUAAAUUAUAAUUUCAUUAAGUUGAUCAGAAAGAAAAAACGUCCCAAUGAAGCGACAGACAAAAGUCACCACACCAGUGUCUGUCUUAAUAUUUGAAUAUGCACUAAAUUUCUAGGUUUCUAUUUGUUUCAUACCACAUGUCAGGGGGGCAAGUUUACAUCUAAAUAAAUGGCUUAAUGAGUUAAAUUAUAAUAGAGGAAGAUAUUUUUAUAUAUAUAUACUUUUUUAUUUUUAGAGAUAGGGUCUUGCUCUGUCACCCAGCGUGGAGUGCAGUAGUGCAAUUAUAGCUCAUUGCAGCCUAAAAGAGGAAGAUAUAACAAAAUUAUUCAAGAAAUGAAUAAAAGCCUAUGGUAUGAGUGCUUUCCAACUGAGUGAUUAACUUUUGAUAUGCUAUUUUGUCUUUGUUUGAAUCGUGAGUUGUGAAGUGUUUAGAAAAAUCUGUCAAGUACACAAGUCUGCUUUUUUGGUAGUUGGAUCAAAAUAUUAAAUCUCUUAUCAAAUGUUUAAGAAAAUGUGAUUAAUAAAAUAUGUAAAUGGUAUUAAAUGUUCAGGAUAAUUGGAAUUUACAAAUUGUUAAAGAAAUGGGAAUGUAAUUUCUCAUUUUUAUCAAAUUUACUGUUCUUAUAUCUUCAAGUUGAGCUUAGAGAUUUAAAAAUGCUGUAUUUUAAAUGUAUUUUAAUAAAGCAAAUAUUAAAACAAGUAUUUAUAAGUAUUUUUCUUCCCAUACCAAAAGCCUGCUUUGACAGUAAAGCUUGUUGACACAUGGUUCAAACACUUCCUUCCUGCCUUUAAAAAAUUUAUUCUGCUUUUCAAGGAAGGUAUGUUUCUAUUUUAUCUACAAACCUUGUAGACUGGCCUUAUGGUUUUAGCAAUAUAAAAACACACAAAGUGAUGCAUUUUUUAAAUGAAAUUAUUUAACAACACAAUGUAUUUUACCACUCUUACAAAGAUAACUUACAGUAAAUAAUGUUAACGAUGUUAGUUUUACUUAUACGAUUUUUCUGUGUACCCUCUAUCUCUACUUCACCUCAAUGUCUUUCACCCUCCAAUUUUAAGGUGAAAAUAUCUAGGCUUCUGCCCUCUGCAACUGAUUUCUAUUGAGGGCCUAUGGAGAAACCAGGGAUGGUGCAACUUGCAAGUGGCAGAGCCCUGUUUAUCUCCAAAGUUCCUGUUCCUCUGAGAUGAAGUUAUAGAUUAACCUAAGUUUGUCCUUUCUUGAUGUAACCAACUAAUAUCUUUGAGGAUCUUUUUUCUUUUACCCAGAGUGCUGUGUUAAGUGCUGAGUAUACAGAUUCAUUCAACCCUCUAACCAGUCCUUGUAGUACUGAUUCAUCUGUGGUCAAAAUCUGGGGUACUGGUGGGUUUUGUUUCCAAAGGGUUAUGACUUUGAGUGACUAAAAAAAGAUAGUUUAUCCUUGAUGUAGGGACCAUCUUUGAUUUCUCAUUACUUCCCCUUUUGACCCCUCCAAAGCACUUAGCAAAUGUCAGCUAAUGAAUAAAUGAUAAAAAAAUGGUUGGCCAAAAAGACAGCAUCAGAAGAGAAUUUUUACCUAGUGCAGUGCUUAGCACCUAUCAGGGAUUUAUUAAACAUAUAUGGAAGAGAAUGACAUUUCUGCCAUUUUAUUAAUAAAUUCAACAAAGUAUUUAUUGAACUUUAACCAUGGCUUGGGCAUUUGUUAAGGAUGAGUGGUUUAAUACAAUGAUGAUUCAGACACGGUCUCUACUUCCAAGGAAUCUGGCAUCUCAAAUAGGUAAGACACACAUAAAAGUAAUAGGUGAUAGCAGUAAGUGCUGAAAUAAGACUGUCAUUCAAGUGUUGUGAAUUUGAAGAAGUUGGGAAGAUCAGGAAUGCAAAUUUCUUCCCCCUUGUCUUAGUCCAUUUGUACUGCCUUAACAAAGUAUCUUCAACUGGGUAAUCUAUAAAUAAUAGAAAUUUAUUUUCUUACAGCUCUGGAGGCUGGGAAGUCACGGUUAAGCACCAGUUGGUUUGGUGUCUGCUGAGUCCCCAGUUGCUGCUUUCAAGAUGGUACCUUGUUGCUGGGUCCUCACGUUAGAAGGGACAGAAGGGGCUGGGCAUGGUGGCUCACACCUAUAAUCCCAGCACUUUGGGAGGCCGAGGCAGGCAGAUCAUGAGGUCAGGAGAUCAAGACCAUCCUGGCUAACACGGUGAAACCCCAUCUCUACUAAAAAUAUAAAAAAUUAGCCGGGCGUGGUGGUGGCGGGCACCUGUAGUCCCAGCUACUCGGGAGGCUGAGGCAGGAGAAUGGCGUGAACCCGGGAGGUGGAGCUUGCAGUGAACCAAGAUCACGCCACUGCACUCCAGCCUGGGGCAACAGAGCAAGACUCCAUCUCAAAAAAAAAAAAAAAAAAAGGGACAGGAGACAGAAGGGCUGAACAGCUGCCUCACACCUCUUUUUAAGUCAUUAAUCCCAGAGCCCUCAUGACUUAAUCACUUCCUCAAGGCCCCACCUCUACAUACUAUCUCACUGGCAAAUACAUUUCCACAUUUGAAUUUUGGAGGACACAUUCAGACCACUGCACCCCUCAAGUUGGUUAGUGUCUUUGAAUAUCUUUUUUCAUGCUGUGACAAUCUCAUGGUUUCAAACUUUUCUUCUAUCUGUGUUAAUCCCAAAUAUCUUUGUUCUCAGUCAUCUCCCUAGUUUCCAUCUUUCUCCCAGACCUCCUCUCUACAUAAAUAACCUGCAUGCACUGUAAAAUCCAUGUAUCAAAAAACUGAACUUGUGUAAUUCUCUUCCAAAUCUGUCCCCAGCUUCUAGAAGAUGGGAGGAAAACAUGAUACAAGGGUAUAAGGAAAUUCACUCAGUACUGCAGAGACAGCAUGGAAGACAAAGACUCAGUCUCUGUGUUUCUGAAAGGUCUUCUCGAACCAUAUCCACCCACUUCUCAAUUUCUACCACAAAAGUAGAAAACGUAACCUUGAUUUUCACUUUCUGUCCUGUAACUAUAAAAGUCAUCUGUAGAAGGUAAUUUGGGUCCUCACUUCCAUAAAUAUUCUCUGACUUCCUCUAAUAGAAAGUAGGAGAAUGUGGCAGUACUGUAUAUUACAAUGUUAGGACUACUUAACAUAACGCUGCUUUAAAAGACCAGAAUUUGAGACGGGUGAAAGGGCAGGGGCAAGUUUGAUUAUUCCUAACAUCUAUGAGGAAGCCUCUGUCUUCCCCAUAGGAAGCUGUCCUUUCUUCUCUAUUAGUUAUAUAGGAAUAAGAAUCUAGAGGAAGCUUUAAACAUUCAUAUUGGAGUUAAGAAUUAAAGACACUGAGAUGAUUAGUGUGUGGAUAACCUGAAAUACUUUAUGGCUCAUUCACCAUUUCAACAUCAACAAGAGGAGAACACCACAAAUACGGCAAACUGUCUAGCUGCUCAAGAAAAUGGUGCCCCCUUCCUCCCAGGCACACAGCUGGACACAUUUCCCAAAAUCUCUCUAGGUGGGCCAUGUGACGGAGUUCUGUCCAAAGGAACAUGGGCGGAAGAGAUAUGCACCACUUCCAGGCCUGACCCAGAAACAUUUUCCACACAGACUUUUCCUUCUUUUCCUAUGUGCUCUUUCAACAAAGAGGGCUCUAUGGACUGAGAGAAAGGCAGAGCCCCAAGAGGAAGGAGCCUGGGUCGCAGAAAGACUAGGUGGAAAGCUGUCCACUGACCACAAACAUCCACAUGGGACAUCAUAUGAGAGAGAAAUAAACCUGGGAAUAGUUACUUAACUUCUUUGGGUCCUAGUCUCUGGGCAAAGAGGAAAAGCUCAAUAAAUAUCAGCUGACAUUAUAUUAGGAAAUAAAGUUUACUUCUCCUUAAUUUCUUUUUCUUAGGCAAGGCGGAGCACCGGGGGUGAGUGGGAUUGGUGAAAAGCACUAAAUGACAUUUGCCUAUUACAAAAUGCUAAUUGGUACAUUUAAAUAAGAUGACAUUGUGACAAUAACUCACAGAUUAAAGACAUUUUCUUCUGGAUCCCAGACAUUAGAUUUUAAGACUGAUUUCUUGCUAAAAACACUCAAAUCUAGUUAAAAUGUGAAAUAUAAACAGAAUGUGGUACCCACUUCUUUCCCCCUGUGACACUGAGUGUCCGGGGAUGUUCUAAAACACAAUUAACAAUCCACAUCAUUUCUGUGGCUUCAAAUUGGCACAAAAUCUGUACAAAGAAUACUUUGUGCUGCUAUAAUACUCAACUGAUACAGUUUAAUUAUGAUCA
rnacentral:lncRNA from 1 species